UACGGGGGGGGCAAGCGUUGUUCGGAAUUACUGGGCGUAAAGGGCGCGUAGGCGGCUUGGCAAGUGGAAGGUGAAAUCCCUCGGCUUAACCGAGGAACUGCCCUCCAAACUGCUUGGCUUGAGUUCGGGAGAGGGAUGCGGAAUUCCAGGUGUAGCGGUGAAAUGCGUAGAUAUCUGGAGGAACACCGGUGGCGAAGGCGGCAUCCUGGACCGAUACUGACGCUGAGGAGCGAAAGCCAGGGGAGCAAACGGG
rnacentral:rRNA from 1 species